AGAACGAACGCUGGCGGCACGCCUAACACAUGCAAGUCGAGCGCCCAGCAAUGGGAGCGGCGGACGGGUGAGUAACACGUGGGAACAUGCCUUUCGGUACGGAACAACUGCGGGAAACUGCAGCUAAUGCCGUAUACGCCCUUACGGGGAAAGAUUUAUCGCCGAAAGAUUGGCCCGCGUCUGAUUAGCUAGUUGGUGAGGUAACGGCUCACCAAGGCUUCGAUCAGUAGCUGGUUUGAGAGAACGACCAGCCACAUUGGGACUGAGACACGGCCCAAACUCCUACGGGAGGCAGCAGUGGGGAAUCUUGGACAAUGGGGGAAACCCUGAUCCAGCGAUGCCGCGUGAGUGAUGAAGGCCUUCGGGUUGUAAACUCUUUCGACGGGGACGAUAAUGACGGUACCCGUAGAAGAAGCUCCGGCUAACUUCGCGCCAGCAGCCGC
rnacentral:rRNA from 1 species